UUAUAAAGGCUUAAUAAGCCAAAUCUGAUUAGCUUCUUUCUUUUCCCUUUAGCAAACCCUAAAUUUCCCCUCUAAUUGCCGUUUCCUCUUUGCGAUAAGGUGCCUUUGAGGAAUUUUUCAGCCCCCAACCUUCCUUCAACUUCGAUUCCAACAAAGCAAAGAGAGGAUCCAUGGCGUAUUCACAUGGUAAGAUUUGCUUCUUUCCUUUGUUUUCUCUUUUUUUUUUUAAAAAAAAAUGCAACAAUGAUGUAUUUAGAAAGCGAAUCGAAAAGAAAAAGAAAAAAACUUAGAAACACUCAAAUCAAAAAUCACCUUAAAAAUUUUGAUUAAAUUCCUCUAUUUGAUUAGUAUGCGUAUAAUGUGCGUGCGUAAGUUUACAUUGUACAUCCAGUGGCCUUUUAUAGCUGAAAAAUGAAAAUAAAUAAAUAAAUAAAAAUCAAAUCCUUGCUGUAUUCUGUUAUUUUCUCCUUCUCGUGUGUUCUUUUGCAGGAACAUCCGUAUAGAAGCACGUGGAGAGACGCGCGUGAAGGAGGCCGUGCUUGGGAUCGUUCGUAGGGAGCCCAAUCUUGGCUGGCUGCUAGUGUUUUCCAGAAACUUCUGGCCUGCUUUGAAAUCAGACGGCAAGGAGAGAAAACCAUUGCUGCGGCGCUGAUCAGAAGACUAGAGUUUCCCCUUCUAAAACCAGCAUCUAGGUCAUUCGAGCUGUUGGGCCAUUUUUGCAUUCGGGCCCUUGGGAUUAUUUGGGUUAAGUUUUAAUUUGGGUCUGGUUUAGUUUAGUUUAAUAACUGGACUGUUAUUAUAUAUAUAUUUUUGGGUUAAACAACUUGUAAAUGGACAUUGGUUUAUUUUGGGCUAUUUAUUGUUUUUUAUUUAUUUAUUUUGGUUUAUAAUGGGCCGAGCGAAUUGGGCCUAUUACAACUUUUAGACACUGAUUCGUAAGUUGUAAACCAAUCCCAAUUGGGACUCAUGUAGAAAGUGUAGCCUGAAUCAAGUAUCCACUCAUCGCUUACUUUAGAAUCAUUGACAGAAGCGACUAGAAGUUCACCAUCGUUGUAGUCUUCUACAACAUCAGCGUCACCGAAAUUUUCUAGUUGUUUUCCCUUUUGAUUUGCAGCCUCCCUUUUAAUCUUUUUCUGUAGCUUAUAGCACUCAGAUUUAAUGUGCCCUUUCUUUUUGCAGAAGUUACAAGUUUUACCUCUGUUUGAAGACUUUGAUCUACUCUUAGAUUUACCGCGAGGAAUUCAUUCUUGUGUCCUUCACGAUUAUCAUCAACAUUCCGAUCUUGUCUCCCACGAACAAUAAGACCCUUUCAUUGAGAGUCGAGUUUAAUCACAAGAUGCUUCAUCUUAUCAUACAAGGUCAAAGAAUCAUAAACCUCAUCAACUAUGAUAGACUCGCGGCUAUAUAAAAUCGUGUCUCUAAAGGUUGAAUAAGAUGGGGGCAACGAACAAAGCAGAAUCAACCCUGGAUCUUCCUUAUCAUACUGAACGUCCAUGGCCUCCAAGUUUAAGAGAAUUUCUUUAAACACUGUUAAGUGUUCAUGUACAGACGCACCUUCCUCCAAACGAUGAGCAGAAAGAUGCUGCUUCAUAUGCAACUUGCUUGUUUAAGUUUUCGACAUAGAUAUUUGUUCUAGCAUCUUCCAUAAUACAGUGGCAGUCAUCUCUUUCAUCACAUCCUGCAAAGUUUCGUUGGACAAAUACAGAUGUAAUUGUGUUAACGCCUUUCGAUCCUUAUGCUUCUUCUCUUCAUCUUUUAAUUUUGGAGGCAUCUUAUCUAUCCCUAGCAAGGCAUCUUCCAGAUCCAUUUGCGCAAGAAUUGCUUGCAUCUUAAUCUGCCAUAAUGCAAAUCUGGUGUUGUGAUCCAACAGCGAAAUUUCAUACUUUAAAGACGUCAUUACCAUGAUCGAGAUGAAGAACUCGGAAUCUCUGAUACCAAUUUAUGAAAAUAAAAACAAAAUAAAAUAAAAUAAAGAACACACAAAUUUUC
rnacentral:lncRNA from 1 species